GAUUUCUGGUUGGAUGCGCCUGGCCCGCCACGGUUUCGUGUGUGAGUGCCGGUGUGCGUCUGCCAUCCUUCUAGUCCCGUCCGACUGUUCGAAAGAAUGGUCGAGGCGAGCUAGAUCUUUUACUUUGAAAAAAUUAGAGUGUUUCAAGCAGGCAUGUUGCUAUGAAUACAUUAGCAUGGAAUAAUAAUUUAGGACUUCGGUUCUAUUUUGUUGGUUUCUAGGACUGAAGUAAUGAUUGAUAGGGAUAGUUGGGGGUGCUAGUAUUCAGCGGCCAGAGGUGAAAUUCUCGGAUUCGCUGAAGACUAACUUAUGCGAAAGCAUU
rnacentral:rRNA from 1 species